UUCAUAGAACCUUAUGUGGGCUUUAGAAUACUUGACCCAUACUUAUCAUAAACCCUAGUAGCUCUCUAGUACAAACGAAAGAAAAUCAAACCCUAGACAUUUCAUUCUCCUCACCUCUGUUUCUCCUCUCUCAUGGCGGCAAUAAAACCUAAACCACUCAACCUCUUCAUUUCUACUGUUUUUUUGGUAUGUAUCUUGGAUGUCUUGUGAAAGUUGAAAAGGUGAUGGGUGAUAUUGAAAGUAUUUUCUUUUUUCAUUUACUAUUUAUCGAUUUAUUCUUAAAUUAAAAAUCUUGCUCUGAGCUUCCUUUCUUUUUAAGCUUCGUUUAAAUGGUGUCUUUAGUCUCGAUGGUAGCUGGUUGUUGCCUUUGUAGAGGUAUAUAGAUCAUUGUCCGGAUAUCAUUCAGAUCGGGGUCGUUCAAGUUUGGAUUCGACUUAGGUAUUUUUGCAUUCUUAGCAAGGGCUUUUUAGUAUUUGUAAAAUUUAUGUUUUUUCAGUAUGUUUUGGUAUCAAUUGUUGAUGCCAUGGUGAUUAUCUGUAUGUUGAAGGCUACUAUUGGUUUGGAUGAUGAUAUAAUUCUUGACGAUUUUGACCCAUGUAAGGUUAAUUGAUUUCUCAUUUUCCUCAUCAAUAUUUCGUUGUGGAAUUUACCAAUCGAUUUCUUUUUUAAUUGAAAAUUUUGCUUUUGAGUUCCUUAUUGAAGAGGAGCUUGGACAACAAUGGUAUAACAUCUAAUCUAAACUUUCCUCCCUCAUAACCACUGGUAAUCUCAACAACCAUUCACUUCUGGCUGCAUUUAUUUAGCAUCGUGUACUGCAAACGUGCAUUAUUUUUUCACUUUCACUACUUCUCAAUACUUAAAGUCUCUAAAUUUGUCUUGUAUGUGAAGCUCAUAUAUUAUUUUGAUGUUUUGAAAAUUAAUGACUGCAUCCCUCUAUCAAGUCUACAAGGGCUGGCUAAAAAAGAAUUUCGAUCUAGUAGUUGUCAAAGUACAGAGGCCUUUUUUCCACCUCAAAUAUAAUUAUUAAGAUGUCUGUUAACAUUGUUGGAUUGGUUGAUGAAUGAGCUGCUAACUUCUUUGAGGAAUUUAAAAAAUAAAAUAAAAAAGGUUGAACCCCAACCUUCAGGGCCCCCACCGUCUCCGUCUCUAAAGCUUUGUGAGGGAGGUAAAUCGUGGGAUGUGUCCCAAUAGGCCAGGGAACAAGAGUUGUUUGUACAUUGCGCCUAUAAGGAGUUCAAUUCUAUGUGCCGGGAAUCGAACAUUCACACUGCGACUGUCAGCAAGGUGUGAGAUAACCUCACUCCUGUCUUUUGCAUCAUUGGACUAUGCCCCGGGGGGCUAACUUCUUUGAGGAACUUGAUUAUGUUAGUGAAGGAGAACAUGGAACUAUUUUUGCUGAAAAUGUCAAUUUUUGCAUUUUGCUUUUGUUCAUAAAUGUAGAAGAAAUUCAAAAUUCUUUUCAACUUCAGUUUAAUGCAUUUCUAUUUAACUUUCUUGCUAGAAUUUAGGUUUUAAGGAAUUUAUGGUUACUUUUUUCUUAUUUAUAAGCAAGAUAUAUCCUUCGCGAGAAGAAGUAUGCUUUAUUUGCACAAAGACAGUUUCUUCAAUAGUCGGACUUUAACUAAUCUUGUAAUUUAUUUUUAUUUUAUGUUGUUUUGAACUCAAAAAUUAAGGGUGUGUUCUCUUUGUUGUUUUCAAGUCAUUUUUUGUUUUCGAUUUUUCAAAAUGAUGAAAACGCAUUAUCCUUCCCAUUUUCGAAAAUGACUUUUCAAAAAAAAAAAAGUACUAAAAACACAAAACGUCAAAAAAGACAUUUUGUGCAUUUUCAGUACAAAACACAGAAAAAUUGAAAAAUACACGAAACAGCCCCUUUUCCAUUACUGUGCGUGAGAGCAGAAAACCAAGGAAGACCCGCUACCUUCUUCCUCAACAAUCGAUCGCCACCCACCACCUAGACCACUAGAUUUCACAGCCAUUCGAAUCCCCUCACUUCCCUCUUCAACUACUUGUCAUCACCUGGCCGGAGUUGCCUAAAACAACCUCAAUCACCACCCAAAACAGCGCUUCCAGUUAUGGUUUUUGCCAUAUUUUCACCGUUGUCGACCACCGUUUUGAGUGCGGACCACCACCACUCUACUCCUUCCAACCAGGCGCAUCCAGUACCACCAUGGGUCACCUGUAAUUUUGUCCCUAAUUUUUUGCCUCACCUCCUCUUGGGAAAUUAUUCAGGUUUGAUUCGUCUCAAAUUACUUCCGUUUCUAGUAAAUUAUCACUUCUUAUUCCUGUUUCUUUCCUACUAUAUUUUGAUUUAGUAUUAUUCAAUAAUGUUUUUUCUCCAUCUUCUUUUUUUAGUAAGCGGAAAUAUUGCUCUUGAUUAUGGUGGAAAAUUCAUAGCUUGUGAUUUUUGUUGAUGCGUAUUUAUUUUAUGUUUUUACUAUUGUAAAGAAAGAAAAGAAUUAGUUGUUAUUUCUAUGGUGAACUGAGGCACGUAGGAAAUAGAAGAAUUUCAUUAUCUGAGUAAUUAAUGUACUUCUCCGUUGGAGUUGAUUCCAAAUUUACUGAGAACAAGGCUUAGUUUGCUUUUUUUCCCUGUAAAUGCCUAGUAUGGGUUCUAAACUGGUGGAUCGAGAUGCAAGGCAUUCGUAGAAGUUGACCCUACUGGCUGAUAGCGAGCUGCUUGGAUCGGGAACUGUGAAGAAAGUGUACAGAGCAUUUGACCAAGAGGAAGGGAUUGAGGUGGCUUGGAACCUAGUCAAAUUGAGAAGCUUCCUUGGAGAUGAAGCGAUGAUCAAUUGAUUAUAUUCUGAGGUUCGACUGUUGAGGACAUUAAAAAACAAGAAUAUUAUCAUGUUGUACUCAGUGUGGUAGGAUGAGGAGAAAAACACGCUGAAUUUCAUUAUCAAGGUGUGUACUUCUGGGAACUUGAGGGAGUACAAGAAGAAGCAUAUGCAUGUGUCGAUGAAGGCGUUGGAGAAAUGGUCUAUGCAAAUUCUUAAAGGAUUGGACUAUUUGCAUACUCAUGAGCCAUGUGUCAUUCAUAGGGAUCUAAAUUGUAGCAAUAUCUUCGUCAAUGGCAUUGUUGGUCAAGUAUAACUGAUAUAAAAAAAAAAAAAAAGGUGAAAUGGUAUAGUGAGAUUUGAAGAACUUAAAAAAGUGAAACUAAGUGUGAUCAUAUUAGGUUAUUCUCAAGCAUUGAUAAGUAUGGUAUCCACUGAUACGUAGUUUUUUCUGCUUCAAUAAUGCAUUUGUGACAGCAUUUGGUUUUGCCAAAAUAAUUUUAAUUAUAGUAAGAUUGAAUUUUGUGGAUGGGCUAGGCAGCUUUUUGUUCGAAUUACUUUUUCUUUUGGGCAUGAUUAUGAUAUAUGAUUGAAAAUAAUGUUAUUCUUUUCUUUAGUAAAUGCACACUGAAUAAUUUAAUGUCACCGGCCUAUCCCAUGUUACUAAUAUCCCUUGAGUUUUUUUUUUGCAGUAGAUAGAUGUAGACAUGGAUGCGUAUGAAACGGAUGGGAAAGCUGAAUGCAGCUAUUACUUGGAAGGCACGUACCAUGUUGAAGAUGGGCAACUUAUGGAGGAAGACUUCUUGCAUUUACAAGAAAAUUUCAUCUCCAUGGAACUUAUAUCAAAGCUUGAUGGCAAGUAGUUGAUGAAAUUAGCAUCAUCAGUUUAUAUUAUGGAACAUGUGGAUGUGAACGUAUAAUCAACUGGGCUCAGAGAAAAUAUAGCUUUUCGUCGAUAUUCUUACAAAAAGAAGCACUGAAUUUAUGAUUAUUACCCUGCAAGAAAGGCUUCAGAUGGAAGGAGAGGUUAAUGAAGGUUGAAUUUGUUACUUUCUAUUGUUUUGCCACAAUUUUCUUCGGAUUUUUCUUUUUUUCUUUUGUAUCAUUUCACUGGGUUAGGUGUAUAAUUUGUGUUACGUGGAUUUUUUAUAAACUCUGGAACGUUACGAAAAACUUAUUUUUCUCUAUUUUAAUUGCGGAACUAUAAAAAUAAAAUUCUUUAUUAAACAAAUA
rnacentral:lncRNA from 1 species